AGCCUGUUCUUCCUCUCGUUCACCGAGGCGGUCGCCGACAUCGACUACGCGUACGUGUGGAGCGCCGGCUUCUUCGGCGCCUUCGUCCUCUGCGCGCUCGACUCGAACAGCCUCAUGGUGGAGGCGGUACUGACGCCGCUGAGUGACGAGUUCACCUGCAUACGCGCCCGAAGACCCCGGACGGCAUUCACCUACAGCCUCAUCGCGUUCUUUGCCUCCAUGCCACUGGCGAUGCAGAAUGGUAUUUACCUGGCCUUCCUUCUUGACGCGUACGUAGGGGGAAUGCUGAUACCGAUAAUCGCCUUCGUCGAAAUCUGCGUCAUCGUGAUAUU